GGGAGCUCUGCUGCUGUAGUGUGGCCUUGAAGUCCUGCUCCAAGUGUUGAACCACUCCCUCCUCACACUGGCACACCCAUGAUGCCUGCUCCUAUACAGCAACACGGCAAAACAGAAUGGCGUUAUAGAGAAGCACGUGCCGCCUGAGCCAGGUGGUUCAGAGAUGUGUAUCUGCGCAGUGUUUGCGCAAAGGCACUAACAGCGGCAAUCUGUGGAGAGAGCACACAAAAGGCCAGGUGUUACCCACUUGGCACCAUCUACAGAGUCAGGGGGGGAAUAACGCCAGAAUGUCUGCCACAGCUUCUCAAUUAGACU